UACGAAGGGGGCUAGCGUUGCUCGGAAUCACUGGGCGUAAAGGGUGCGUAGGCGGGUCUUUAAGUCAGGGGUGAAAUCCUGGAGCUCAACUCCAGAACUGCCUUUGAUACUGAAGAUCUUGAGUUCGGGAGAGGUGAGUGGAACUGCGAGUGUAGAGGUGAAAUUCGUAGAUAUUCGCAAGAACACCAGUGGCGAAGGCGGCUCACUGGCCCGGUACUGACGCUGAGACGCGAAAGCGUGGGGAGCGAACAGG
rnacentral:rRNA from 1 species